AAUCAGAGUUGAGCUGUGAUUCACAUCACACAAUUUCUUUUAGCACGGCCCAGCCUCAGACUCACGCGGCUCCUGUCGAGUCACACCUGACGUAGGUGGCCCCAGAUAAAAGACUGGUACCUCACCCUGCAGAUGACAAACUACAUCUCACCAUUAAACUCCAUACUUGAGAAGUUAAAUCGUUUGUAUCAUACAUUUGGUUUAAUUUGUUUAAAUAGCCAGAUUUUACCCAUCAAGAUGGUACUACCUUCAGCUAACCAUUUGAGGAUUACACAAUGCAUCUUAAUAUUUGCCAUCUCAGGUUCCCUGUGGUCAGUCACUCCAGCAGGUAUGAGCACCACCCCAACAACAAAAAAGGUUUUCCAGAUGGGCAUAAAGAUAACCAACCGGGUCUUCAAUGACUCCCUAUUGAAUCCAAAUUCUGAGGACUACAAGAAAUUGUAUGGCGAGGUCAGCCAAUUGCUUGCUGAUGCCUACAAUUCUCCUACAUCCGGAACAGCAUCCACUUAUGAGGGCGUUGCAACAAUGACUUUCAGAAAUGGAUCAGUGAUCGCAAACGCUGACAUAGUUUUCAACACAAUGUCUAUCAAUGGAUUUGUGGUCAAGUUUGAUUUCCUGGAUCAUAUCGAAGCCAAUCCUUCUGCCUCUCUCCAGAUAGAUACAAAUUAUAUUCAAUCAGAAAAUGUUGUGGCUCCAACCUCAACCAUAACCACCCCCACCUCAACCAUAACCACCCCCACCACACCUACUACAACAAUAACUCACAUGACUGCAACCACUACUAACCCACCAACAACCACAACAUUGGCUCCAAAUACAACUAUGAAAAUUCUUACAACUUCUACCUCAUUGGCUCCAAAUACAACUGCGACAAUUCCAACCACAACCACCCUGUUGGUUACAAAUACAACUAUGAACAUUCCUACAAAUUCCACUCCAUUGGUUCUAACUACUUCUACGAAUAUUCCUACAAAUUCCACUCCAUUGGCUCUAACUACUUCUACAAAAAUUCCUACAAAAUUCACCUCAUUGGCUCCAAAUAUAACUGCGACAAUUCCAACCACAACCACCCUGUUGGUUACAAAUACAACUAUGACAAUUCCAACAACUUCCACCACAUUGGCUCUAAAUAGAACUAUUAACAUUCCUACAAAUUCCACUCCAUUGGCUCUAACUACUUCUACAAAAAUUCCUACAAAAUUCACCUCAUUGGCUCCAAAUAUAACUGCGACAAAUACAACUAUGAAAAUUCCAACAAAUUCCACCACAUUGGCUCUAAAUAAAACUAUUAACAUUCCUACAAAUUCAACUCCAUUGGUUCUAACUACUUCUCCGAAUAUUUCUACAAAUUCCACUCCAUUGGCUCUAACUACAACUAUAAACAUUCCUACAAAUUCCACUCCAUUGGUUCUAACUACUUCUCCGAAUAUUUCUACAAAUUCCACUCCAUUGGCUCUAACUACAACUAUAAACAUUCCUACAAAUUCCACUCCAUUGGUUCUAACUACUUCUCCGAAUAUUUCUACAAAUUCCACUCCAUUGGCUCUAACUACAACUAUAAACAUUCCUACAAAUUCCACUCCAUUGGUUCUAACUACUUCUCCGAAUAUUCCUACAAAUUCCACUCCAUUGGCUCUAACUACUUCUACAAAAAUUCCUACAAAAUUCACCUCAUUGGCUCCAAAUAUAACUGCGACAAUUCCAACAACCACCCUAUUGUCUAAAAAUACAACUAUGAAAAUUCCAGCAACUUCCUCCCCAUUGGCUACAAAUACAACUAUGAAAAUUCCAACAAAUUCCACCCCACUGGCUCCAGCUACAACUACCCAAAUUCCAACAACCCCAUUGGCUUCAACUACAACAACAACAUUUCUCACAACUUCCAUCCCAUUGGCUCCAUCUACAAUUACGAAAGAUCCCUCUUUUGGCAAAACCACACAUGAUCCAAUUACCGUAGUAACCUUCUCUUCCACUAAAGGCAGCGGAAAGAGAAACAGUGGUGUACUCCCUACAUCCGGUCCUACAAAUAUGUCAUCUUCAAUGACAACUGGUGGUUCAGGAGGAAACAACAAGACAAUUCAUCCACCCACCACAAGUCAUGGUGCCAGUCCUUCACCUGGGACGGUGGACCCAGAAAAAAACAGUAAGAGACCAAACAUCUCCCCAUCUGGUGGUUUAACCAACCAUCCCCUGAAGCCUUCCAUCGGGCCUCAGUCAAGCACCACAACUAAAUCUAGCACAACUGCCAACACAGCAUCCAGGGAUAAUGGUGGUGGGUUCAGUGACUGGGUACCGGGAUGGGCCAUUGCGCUGUUGGUGUUAGCCGCUGUCAUCCUGCUGCUCCUCAUUAUCAUCUUCAUCAUGAUGGUGGUGCGCUGGUGCUGUAAAAGGUCAGAUGGUCCGUACGCUCAUGAAAAAAAGAGCACCCCCAACAUGGACUCUUUCCCCACAUAUGUCCCCCAAGCCCCUGUACAGGAGCAACCCAAUGGCAAGACCUUUGAGACUAUUGAUGACCCACGAAAGAAGAAAAAAACAGGAAUGUACAUAGUGAACCCCUGAGCAGGAAGAUGUGGAGGUGACAUACCAACAGGCAAACUCUUGUCUGCAGAACAAGAUCUGACAAAGAUGAGCUACAAGCAAAACCAUGUCACAACCUCUGUAGAUACUGUAUAGUUUGUCAGGAAUUGAGUAUGUUAUAUUGGAUGAAAAUUAUCGGAAUGAUUUCAUAGGUUUGUAUUUAUUCCACAAAUCUUGCGCAUAAGUUUUGGGCAACCUUGCUAGUAUUUUUGUAUUGUAUCUGAUGUCGUCAUAUUUGACCCUGUUAUGAACACAACCAGCGUCAAGCUGAUAUAUUUUUUCAGUCUGUUAUAUUCAGAUUUUUCAUUGGCACAUAUCUCAGAUGUUUUGCGUUGCAUCAUGUUCAACUGCUCAAUUGUAUAAUGCUAAAGAUGAAUGUUAAAUCAAAUAUGAAAAUCAGAGUUCCUUAAUUGGUCAGAUAUUUGAAUCGGGAGUUUACAGCAAUGAUGUAUAUGAGCCCUGGAUUGCAGUUGUUAUGUGUUUGCCAUUGACAGGCAUUGAAGCCACUAGUCGGCCAUUUUGGCAUUCCCCAGUUGGAGCAGUCCUUCAUAAGAAUACAUGGAAUUCUACAGUAUUUCAAUUAAAUGUUUCAGGGACAAAAUGACAUGUAUUUAAAUAUUUGUUUGUUGGGACAGUAACAUUGGUGAUCUCAAAAAAAUGUAUAUUUUAUUUGUAAGUUUAGCUCACAUAAUACAAUGUAAAAGUAUGCAAUAAGGUGUCUGAAAUAGAAUAGUUGUGGCAAAAACAAAUUUAGAAAAUAAUAAAUUAAUUUCUGUAGCAUCCAAAAUAUAUUUUUUUACAUUGAGGGAGUGCCAAGAUGGAGGCAUGGUGGCUUCAAUAGAGCCGCCAAAACAGUAUUCUAGUGUGUGUAUAUAUAAAUCAUUGGCUUACAACAUGUGCAGUAAUAAUGUGACAUCUUGAGAAAUGGAAAUAGAUGUAGGUCUGAAUCUUAACUUGACUUGAGUGCCCAUUGAUGUCAAUGGAAGAUUUUCAAAAACUCCAGUUACACGCACAGAUCUCAAGUUAGGAUUUGGGACUUGAGAAUUACACGUGUAAAUAGGAGUACAUUUCUGAGUACUGAGUUUGUAUCAUGUUAUGUACAAUUUAAUGGAAGACUUGUAAAUAAAUGUUGAGAAUCAAGAACCUCUUCUUCAUGGAAGUAUCCUCAUUAAACUGACAG